rnacentral:rRNA from 1 species
AACGAACGCUGGCGGCAUGCCUAACACAUGCAAGUCGAACGAGACCUUCGGGUCUAGUGGCGCACGGGUGCGUAACGCGUGGGAACCUGCCCUUAGGUUCGGAAUAACUCCCCGAAAGGGGUGCUAAUACCGGAUAAUGUCUUCGGACCAAAGAUUUAUCGCCUUUGGAUGGGCCCGCGUUGGAUUAGCUUGUUGGUAGGGUAAAAGCCUACCAAGGCGACGAUCCAUAGCUGGUCUGAGAGGAUGAUCAGCCACACUGGGACUGAGACACGGCCCAGACUCCUACGGGAGGCAGCAGUGGGGAAUAUUGGAAAAUGGGGGGAAGCCUGAUCCAGCAAUGACGCGUGAGUGAUGAAGGCCUUAGGGUUGUAAAGCUCUUUUACCCGGGAUGAUAAUGACAGUACCGGGAGAAUAAGCUCCGGCUAACUCCGUG